rnacentral:rRNA from 1 species
GGCGACGUCGCGAGAAGUCCACUGAACCUUAUCAUUUAGAGGAAGGAGAAGUCGUAACAAGGUUUCCGUAGGUGAACCUGCGGAAGGAUCAUUGUCGAAACCUGCCCAGCAGAACGACCCGUGAACACGUUGUAUGCCACAUCGGGAGGGGAGGCGGUCGCCAUCCGGCCCUGUCUUCCUUCCCUUCGUYGGGGGGCGCCCCUCGCGGGUGCAGCCCGACGUAAAUAACAAACCCCAGCGCGGGAUGCGCCAAGGAACAUGAACACUAGUGUGGCCCUCCGCCCCGGCUUGCCGGUGUGCGGUCGYGGCACCUAAUGAUCGAACAUAAACGACUCUCGGCAACGGAUAUCUCGGCUCUCGCAUCGAUGAAGAACGUAGCGAAAUGCGAUACUUGGUGUGAAUUGCAGAAUCCCGUGAACCAUCGAGUCUUUGAACGCAAGUUGCGCCUGAAGCCAUUAGGCCGAAGGCACGUCUGCCUGGGCGUCACGCACCGCGUCUCCCCCACCCACCCCUUGCGGGUGGGAGGGGAAGGAGGAUGGCCUCCCGUGCCAUAUUCGUGUGCGGCUGGCCUAAAAAGGGAGCCCACGGUGAUGAGCUGCCACGGCGAUUGGUGGUUGACAAGGCCUCGGCUGUAGUUGCAUCGCGUCGUGUGCGCACGUUGUCGGUUGGAGCUCGCAUGACCCUAAUCGAAACCGUUGCGACCCCAGGUCAGGCGGGGCUACCCGCUGAGUUUAAGCAUAUCAAUAAGCGGAGGAAA